rnacentral:tRNA from 1 species
GUAGUCGUGGCCGAGUGGUUAUGGCGAUGUACUAAAAAUCCAUUGGGCUCUGCCAACGCAGGUUCGAAUCCAGCUGACUACG